ACAUGCCUACAACAUAGAGUUAAUGCAUUGGAUCUCGUUAGAAAUCUGUAGUUAAGCGUGCUCAAGAUAGAGUAGUACUGGGAUGGUUGAUCGCCUGGGAAGUCCUAGUGUUUUACAUGCC
rfam:Picea glauca, whole genome shotgun sequence.